rnacentral:rRNA from 1 species
UACGAAGGGGGGCUAGCGUUGUUCGGAAUUACUGGGCGUAAAGCGCGCGCAGGCGGUUUCUCAAGUCAGUGGUGAAAGCCCGGAGCUCAACUCCGGAACUGCCAUUGAAACUGUGAAACUUGAGGACGAGAGAGGUGAGUGGAAUUCCCAGUGUAGAGGUGAAAUUCGUAGAUAUUGGGAAGAACACCGGUGGCGAAGGCUGGUCUCUGGGCCGAUAUUGACGCUGAGGAGCGAAAGCGUGGGGAGCAAACAGG